rnacentral:rRNA from 1 species
UGGGGAGUAUUGCACAAUGGGGGAGACCCUGAUGCAGCGACGCCGCGUGAGUGAAGAAGUAAUUCGUUAUGUAAAGCUCUAUCAGCAGGGAAGAAGAAAUGACGGUACCUGAGUAAGAAGCCCCGGCUAACUACGUGCCAGCAGCCGCGGUAAUACGUAGGGGGCAAGCGUUAUCCGGAUUUACUGGGUGUAAGGGAGCGUAGACGGCGAUGCAAGCCAGAUGUGAAAGCCCGCGGCUCAACUGCGGGACUGCAUUUGGAACUGUAUGGCUGGAGUGCAGGAGAGGUAAGUGGAAUUCCUAGUGUAGCGGUGAAAUGCAUAGAUAUUAGGAGGAACACCAGUGGCGAAGGCGGCUUACUGGACUGUAACUGACACUGAGGCUCGAAAUGCGUGGGGAGCAAACAGGAUUAGAUACC